UAGCUUAGGGGUAGAGCGCUUGCCUCGCAUGCAUGAAGCCCUGGGUUCAAUCUCCAG
rnacentral:tRNA from 1 species